CGCCUUGUGGUUCGGGCCCAGAGGCUCAUGCAGGCGCUUGUGGGGAGCAUGAUGACUGGUAUCAGUUGUAUCCCUGUAUUCUGACCACUGCUUCCUCAACGUUUUGCUGCGGUUGAAGUUUUUGAGGAAAUGCACGUCACAUGUAAUUAACCAUUGGAGCGUACAAGUCAGUGGUAUUCAGUGCACUCACCACGUGGUGCGACC
rnacentral:lncRNA from 1 species